CAGCCGCCGCGGGAAUACGUAGGUGGCAAGCGUUGUCCGGAAUUAUUGGGCGUAAAGGGCUCGCAGGCGGUUUCUUAAGUCUGAUGUGAAAGCCCCCGGCUCAACCGGGGAGGGUCAUUGGAAACUGGGAAACUUGAGUGCAGAAGAGGAGAGUGGAAUUCCACGUGUAGCGGUGAAAUGCGUAGAGAUGUGGAGGAACACCAGUGGCGAAGGCGACUCUCUGGUCUGUAACUGACGCCGAGGAGCGAAAGCGUGGGGAGCGAACAGGAUUAGAGACCCCCGUAGUCCCUGUCUCUUAUAC
rnacentral:rRNA from 1 species